rnacentral:misc_RNA from 1 species
UUUCCGUAGGUGAACCUGCGGAGGAUCAUUAAAAAAUAUCACAUUUGUUUGUGAUUUAAUAAUCAUCCUACCCUUUGUGAAUUUGUUUUUGUUUGAAAUUUAUGUUGUCUAUCCCUGGAUUAUGAAAGAAAAGUUGUAAAAGACUUUUUUUUCAUUCUAGGGAAUAGGCUUUCAUAGACAUUUUUUUAAAUUAAACUUUUUGUAUUCAUUUGUCUAAAAUUUAUUUUUAAAUAAUUUAAAAACAACUUUUGACAAUGGAUCUCUUGAUUCUCGCAACGAUGAAGAGCGCAGCAAAAUGCGAUAAGUAAUGUGAAUUGCAGAAUACGUGAAUCAUCAAAUUUUCGAACGCAUAUUGCACUUUUUUAGUUUACUAAAAAAGUAUGUCUGUUUGAGUAUCAGCAAAAUAUUCUCAUAAAAACUAUUGUUUUUAUGGUUAUGAGUGUUUUACAACGAUAACAAGUUGUUUCACUUUAAAUUGAUUUUUUUAAUAAGCCAAUUUGGUUUUAUUUUUAAAAUUGGAUAAAAUUUUCCCGUAAAAAGGAAUAAACUUUUCAGUUUUAAAGUUAAAACUUAAAUUGACCUACAAAAAAGGAAAUUUAAUUAUAAAACUAACUUGAUCUCAAAUCAGAUAAGAGUACCCGCUGAACUUAAGCAUAUCAAUAAGCGGAGGAAAAGAAACUAACAAGGAUUCCCUUAGUAACGGCGAGUGAAGCGGGAAGAGCUCAAAUUUGAAAUCUUCAAGGUUCUACCUUGACGAAUUGUAGUUUAAAGAAGUGUUUUCUGUUAGUGGAGUGGCAAAAGUUCUUUGGAAUAGGACAUCAUAGAGGGUGAGAAUCCCGUAUUUGGUCAUUCCUUCUAGCUUUGUGAUACACUUUCAAAGAGUCGGAUUGUUUGGGAAUGCAGUCCAAAAUGGGUGGUAAAUUUCAUCUAAAGCUAAAUAUUGGCGAGAGACCGAUAGCGAACAAGUACCGUGAGGGAAAGAUGAAAAGAACUUUGAAAAGAGAGUUAAACAGUACGUGAAAUUGUCAAAAGGGAAGCGUUUGACACCAGUGUUGUUUUUCCGAAAUCAAUUAUAAAUGUUUUGUUUCUGAGGAGUGAUGACUUCAUCGGCUUCCUUCUCUCUUCACGAAACUUUUGUAAUGCACUUUUCGGUUAACAAGUCAACAUCAAUUUCUUUUGUUGUAAAAAGUAUUCGGAAGGUGGCUUUCUUUUCGGAGAAAGUGUUUAUAGCCCUAUACUUCUACAAUCGGAGAGAUUGAGGUCUGCAGCGUAGAUCCUUCGGGGUUAGAUACACUUGUGCUAAGUUAUAGCUUUUCAUAGACAACUUGUUGACUAUGUUUAGUCUUGUAGCUUACUCGCUUGUGCUAUUU